CUGUCCACGGACGCUGCCUCCUGAUCCUGCGCGAAGAUUGCCGCUUUGAACGAACAGUCCAGAGACAACAUCGCGAGGAGGAGAACAAACUUUCCUUCUCCAAACCGCCUCCACCCACCCACCGUGCCGCAAACCAAAGCAGCCCUUGGGAAAUUUUCUCUCCCUCCCCUCCUCUCCAUCCCAAGCGGCGGUAUGGAGGAAAUCCCAAGCAGGGCGGGCCCACUCGACCGGUGAGGCGGCCAUUGACGCGGCUGCCGGCGCGAUGGAGGACCUCGCUGCUCUCCUCUCCUCCAUGCCUCCAUGGGUGGCUCUGUGAGGCGGAAGAGGAACUGGGCGAUGUCCCCUGCUCCGUUCCCCUCCACAACAGCUCCGAAUCCCCGCAGGCGGCGAGGCAGCGACAAGAUCCACUGUCAUCUAUGACGACGCGGUGCGAGCUCAGCACCCUUCUCUCCUCCCUAAGCGGAUUUGCGACACGAAGGUGGAUAUGGGCACCGUCCCCUGCUCUGUUCCCCUCCAACUUCGGCGGUUCUUACCUGACCAGAGCGCAUAGGGCGUCGAUGCAGGCACGAACACCAGCAUCUGGAGGCGGGACUCUUCGAGAAGUCCGAGCACGAAGUGUACAGCCUUGGGCGUCUACUGAUGGCACGAUGAAUCGAUACCGUGGGUACUAGAUCCGAUAGGAAUGGAUGCAGGACACAUGAAUCGUCAGUCAGGUACUCUAUUGAUGUUUGACCCUAGCCCAUGUAUGGAAUGCAACAAGGGAGGAAUUCGUAGUCAUUUGCCGAAGUGUGCUUACCAGUAUUAUGGUCAUUUUCUGAUUAUGUACCAAACGAAUGUCUUGACAAAGUUCCAGAAAAUGCGGUUCAAUUAACUACUACUACUGUUACAUGUUUAUUGUCUCCUUCAGAAUUCAGACUUCUGCCCUUUUCAUUGACAUGCAUGUGAACUGAACUAUGCCUACAUGUCUGCAAAUCUGGUUGCCGGCAGAUGUUAACUUUUCUAAGUAGUACAUACAAUUUAUCUCUAAAUUAACUUAGCGUAUAUAAUUCUGUGUAAAUCACACCGGGGUGACCGAUGCAUGUGCAGCAACGGCGACAGGUUGGUCCCUGUAGGCACAUGAUCAACAUAGUUUGAAUUAUGUAACAACUAUGGGUGAUGUAAGUAAUACAGAUAGGGUUUUCCAAAUUAACUCUAUUGUUUCAUCCUGUUGAUAGAUGCACAAAUGAACAUUUCGUUUCCUUUUCAUAGUUAAAAAUUGAAUAUGACUAGCCUUUAAGAAACAUGGGUUGGUAGACUGUAGUUGGCAUAUGGUUCAAAUUUCUGCUGGAUUUCAGAUUCUGUUUUGUUCUUGGUAAGCUUUCAGCUUUCUGUAAUUUUAUCAUUAAAUUGGUUGCCAUCUUUUCUCUUAUGCUCUAUAACUGAAUGUACUUAGGCAGUUAGGCUUGAAACACAGAAUAUGAUGGUCUAUAUUCAGGUUGCUAUACAUGAUAAUCGCAGUUUCUACCAUGUAAGUAAUUCCAUGGUGAAAAUGAAGGGAAGGAUGCAACAAAUUUGCAAGCAUAUGCUCUCAGCUGAUGCCUAAAAUUUUGUCAGGAAAAUCAAGUUUGUGAUAUAAGAUUUCUGACACGCAACGCUUAAAAUUGGCAGUAUUGUUUUCAGGGUCGAUGGGUACCUUCAAACCUUGAAUGCUUGUCAUUGAGCAGGCAUGCCAUAUAUCGGUACACUAAUACUUCUAUCAUGGUAAAUAGAGGUGGAUGGGACAAACAAAAUUUCUCAUUUGUUAGCAGUAACUUUUAAUGUUAAGCCUCUUGAACGUACUAAGCACACUGUAUUGCUCAAAUCUUUGUGAGUUGAAAUUUAAACCAUACACUUAUUUCAAGGUAUGAAUGCACAUGUAGCUGUUGGUUCUAUGGUAAGCACUCUACAGUAGCAUACAUCUUUUUAAUGGAUGCGCUAUAAAAGAAAAACACCUUAGUAAAUGGCAUCUAAAGUGGCAGUAGUUUACACAACGCUUAGCACACAUCUUUUUAAUGGAUGUGCUAUAAAAGAAAAACACCUUAGUAAAUGGCAUCUAAAGUGGCAGUAGUUUACACAACGCUUAUUUCAGCGCUUCGCUGAAAGCUCAGGCCCUUGAGUUACUAUUCACAUGAAUAAUGAAGCUUUCUAAUUCUACGGUCUCUCCUGAAGAGCGGCAGGAUCUAGCGGUGUUUGCAUGGUGGGUUCUUGAUGCAGGAAUGGAUUUGUACCAAUGACUACAAAAGGGGGAAGCUGCUCCCCACCCUUGACAGGAUCUUUUUCAGCUCCACCAACCUUGAUGGACGCUUAUCCUUCCCCUGCAUGCCAGUGCCUUAUGUUGAACCAAAUCUUACAACUGUAAACUAGCCUGUCUCCUUACUUAAGCAGUCCGUACCGCCUACAUUUAGAAGCAACAUGGUUCCACACACUUCCACUGUCUUGGCAAAAAAUAAUACUUGCCCGUAGGAUUGUGUUAUAUAAUUCUGAU